rnacentral:rRNA from 1 species
CAAUAGCGUAUAUUAAAGUUGUUGCAGUUAAAAAGAUCGUAGUUGGAUUUCUGGUUGAAGCGACCGGUCGGGCGUUGAUUCGUCUGCACUGGAGUCGGUUUUGGCCAUCCUCUAGGAAAGUGCGUCUGGUAUUAAGUUAUCGGGCGUAUGAUCCUGGUCUUUUACUGUGAAAAAAUUAGAGUGUUUAAAGCAGGCCUUCGCCUUGAAUACAUUAGCAUGGAAUAAUAAGAUAGGACUUUGGUCUAUUUUGUUGGUUUGCAGACCGAAGUAAUGAUUAAUAGGGAUAGUUGGGGGUAUUUAUAUUCCGAUGUCAGAGGUGAAAUUCUUAGAUUUUCGGAAGAUAAACUUAUGCGAAAGCAUUUACCAAGGAUGUUUUCAUUAA